UAGGGAAUCUUCCGCAAUGGGCGAAAGCCUGACGGAGCAACGCCGCGUGAGUGAUGAAGGGUUUCGGCUCGUAAAACUCUGUUAUUAGGGAAGAACAAAUGUGUAAGUAACUGUGCACAUUUUGACGGUACCUAAUCAGAAAGCCACGGCUAACUACGUGCCAGCAGCCGCGGUAAUACGUAGGUGGCAAGCGUUAUCCGGAAUUAUUGGGUGUAAAGCGCGAGUAGGCGGUUUCUUAAGUCUGAUGUGAAAGCCCACGGCUCAACCGUGGAGGGUCAUUGGAAACUGGGAAACUUGAGUGCAGAAGAGGAAAGUGGAAUUCCAUGUGUAGCGGUGAAAUGCGCAGAGAUAUGGAGGAACACCAGUGGCGAAGGCGACUUUCUGGUCUGUAACUGACGCUGAUGUGCGAAAGCGUGGGGAUCAAACAGG
rnacentral:rRNA from 1 species